CACAUGAGACAUUUUCUACGACUGCCUGUUGGUUGGUAAUUUUAAUUAUCAACCAACAGGCAGUCGUAGGAAAUGUCUCAUGUG